UGGGGAAUUUUGGACAAUGGGCGAAAGCCUGAUCCAGCAAUGCCGCGUGUGUGAAGAAGGCCUUCGGGUUGUAAAGCACUUUUGUCCGGAAAGAAAUCCUUGGCUCUAAUACAGUCGGGGGAUGACGGUACCGGAAGAAUAAGCACCGGCUAACUACGUGCCAGCAGCCGCGGUAAUACGUAGGGUGCAAGCGUUAAUCGGAAUUACUGGGCGUAAAGCGUGCGCAGGCGGUUUGCUAAGACCGAUGUGAAAUCCCCGGGCUCAACCUGGGAACUGCAUUGGUGACUGGCAGGCUAGAGUAUGGCAGAGGGGGGUAGAAUUCCACGUGUAGCAGUGAAAUGCGUAGAGAUGUGGAGGAAUACCGAUGGCGAAGGCAGCCCCCUGGGCAAUACUGACGCUCAUGCACGAAAGCGUGGGGAGCAAACAGGAUUAGAUACCCUGGUAGUCACGCCCUAAACGAUGUCAACUAGUUGUUGGGGAUUCAUUUCCUUAGUAACGUAGCUAACGCGUGAAGUUGACCGCCUGGGGAGUACGGUCGCAAGAUUAAAACUCAAAUGAAUUGACGGGGUCAUAGCUGUUUCCU
rnacentral:rRNA from 1 species